ACUCAAAUGAAUUGACGGGGGCCCGCACAAGCGGUGGAGCAUGUGGUUUAAUUCGAUGCUACGCGAAGAACCUUACCUAGAUUUGACAUCCCUUGACCGCGGUAGAAGUACCGCUUCCCCUUCGGGGGCAAGGAGACAGGUGCUGCAUGGCUGUCGUCAGCUCGUAUCGUGAGAUGUCGGGUUAAGUCCCUUAACGAGCGCAACCCUUAUCCCUAGUUGCCAUCAUUCAGUUGGGCACUCUAUGGAGACUGCCGGUGUUAAACCGGAGGAAGGUGGGGAUGACGUCAAGUCCUCAUGGCCUUUAUAUCUAGGGCUACACACGUGCUACAAUGGCCGGUACAGAGGGUUGCCAACCCGCAAGGGGGAGCUAAUCUCAGAAAGCCGGUCUCAGUUCGGAUUGGAGUCUGCAACUCGACUCCAUGAAGCUGGAAUCGCUAGUAAUCGCGGAUCAGAACGCCGCGGUGAAUACGUUCCCGGGCCUUGUACACACCGCCCGU
rnacentral:rRNA from 1 species